ensembl:misc_RNA Metazoa_SRP Metazoan signal recognition particle RNA
GCUGGGCAUGGUGGUGCAUGCCUGUAAUCUCAGCUACUCAGGAGGCUGAGGCAGGAGAAUCGCUUGAACCCGGGAGGCAGAGUUUGCAGUGAGCCAAGAUUGCACCACUGCACUCCAGCCUGGGUGACAGAGCGAAACUCCACCUCAAAAAAAAAUAAAACUACCUAAGACUGGAUAAUUUGAGACAGGGUAUCACUCUGUCACCUAGGCGUGAGUGCAGUGGGAUCACUGCUCACUGCAGCCUCAACUUCCUGGGCUCAAGCAAUCCUCCUGCCUCA